rnacentral:rRNA from 1 species
AACGAACGCUGGCGGCAUGCCUAACACAUGCAAGUCGAACGAGACCUUCGGGUCUAGUGGCGCACGGGUGCGUAACGCGUGGGAACCUGCCCUUAGGUUCGGAAUAACUCCCCGAAAGGGGUGCUAAUACCGGAUAAUGUCUUCGGACCAAAGAUUUAUCGCCUUUGGAUGGGCCCGCGUUGGAUUAGCUAGUUGGUAGGGUAAAAGCCUACCAAGGCGACGAUCCAUAGCUGGUCUGAGAGGAUGGUCAGCCACACUGGGACUGAGACACGGCCCAGACUACUACGGGAGGCAGCAGUGGGGAAUAUUGGACAAUGGGCGAAAGCCUGAUCCAGCAAUGCCGCGUGAGUGAUGAAGUCCUUAGGGUUGUAAAGCUCGUUUACCCGGGAUGAUAAUGACGGUACCGGAAGAAUAAGCUCCGGCUAACUCCGUG